rnacentral:lncRNA from 1 species
AAACCCCACUCCUUAAAUAUGUACAAAUAUCGAGUUUGCCAAGUCCUGUUGUUGCUGCUAAGUUUUCACUGAACUCUGAUAUAAAACUUGCAAGAAUGAUAAAUAAUUUGUAACGUGUGUUUGGUUUAUAGAAAUGCAACUUGAAAUGCUGGUGAUUUGUUCUAUUGUAGUCUUUGGUAUUCCAUAUUCAAGCGACUGUCAGAAAGUGGCUGUGUCACUGAUAGUGCAGUUGAAAUAAAAAGGUGCAAUGGAUUUUUCAGUGCUU